rnacentral:rRNA from 1 species
AUAUAGACUUGUAUGAAUGGCUUCACGAGAAUUCAACUGUCUCCUUUGUCUAAUCAGUGAAACUGAUCUCCUCGUGCAGAAACGAGGAUAGUAUCAUAAGACGAGAAGACCCUAUGGAGCUUUAAACUCACAUCAACAAGUUCAUUCCUUAAAAUUUUAUAUUAAUUUAGCUUGCUCGAUUAAAGUUUUAGGUUGGGGCGACCAUGGAGAAAAAAUAAUCCUCCACGAUGAUUUUAACUAAGAGCCACAGCUCUAAGUAUUAAGACACUUAACUCACAUUGACCCAUUUUUUGAUCAACGAACUAAGUUACCCUAGGGAUAACAGCGCAAUCCAUUUUAAGAGUCCCUAUCGACAAAUGGGUUUACGACCUCGAUGUUGGAUCAGGGCACCCAAGUGGUGCAACCGCUACUAAAGGUUCGUUUGUUCAACGCAUAAAGCCCUACGUGAUCUGAGUUCAGACCGGAGA